CCUACGGGAGGCUGCAGUGGGGAAUCUUCCGCAAUGGGCGCAAGCCUGACGGAGCAAUGCCGCGUGAACGAAGAAGGUCUUCGGAUUGUAAAGUUCUGUCCUUAUCGAAGAGAGGGUAUAGAGUGAAAAAUGAUAUACUAGGACGGUAGAUGAGGAGGAAGCCCCGGCUAACUCCGUGCCAGCAGCCGCGGUAAUACGGAGGAUGCGAGCGUUAUCCGGAUUUAUUGGGUUUAAAGGGUGCGCAGGCGGAUUUUUAAGUCAGCGGUCAAAUCGUGGGGCUCAACCCCAUCCAGCCGUUGAAACUGGGGAUCUAGAGUGUGCGAGAGGUAUGCGGAAUGCGUGGUGUAGCGGUGAAAUGCAUAGAUAUCACGCAGAACCCCGAUUGCGAAGGCAGCAUACCGGUGCACAACUGACGCUCAGGCACGAAAGCGUGGGUAUCGAACAGGAUUAGAUACCCCUGUAGUC
rnacentral:rRNA from 1 species